GACGAACGCUGGCGGCGUGCUUAACACAUGCAAGUCGAACGGAAAGGCCCUGCUUGCCGGGUACUCGAGUGGCGAACGGGUGAGUAACACGUGGGUGAUCUGCCCUGCACUUCGGGAUAAGCCUGGGAAACUGGGUCUAAUACCGGAUAGGAGCCAUUUUUAGUGUGAUGGUUGGAAAGUUUUUUCGGUGUAGGAUGAGCUCGCGGCCUAUCAGCUUGUUGGUGGGGUAAUGGCCUACCAAGGCGGCGACGGGUAGCCGGCCUGAGAGGGUGGACGGCCACAGUGGGACUGAGAUACGGCCCAGACUCCUACGGGAGGCAGCAGUGGGGAAUAUUGCACAAUGGGCGCAAGCCUGAUGCAGCGACGCCGCGUGGGGGAGGACGGCCUUCGGGUUGUAAACUCCUUUCGCUAGGGACGAAGCUUUUUGUGACGGUACCUAGAGAAGAAGCACCGGCUAACUACGUG
rnacentral:rRNA from 1 species